GGGGAUAACACUUGGAAACAGGUGCUAAUACCGCAUAAUAGUCGACACCGCAUGGUGUUGAUUUGAAAGACGCUUUCGGGUGUCACUGAUGGAUGGACCCGCGGUGCAUUAGCUAGUUGGUGAGGUAACGGCUCACCAAGGCGAUGAUGCAUAGCCGACCUGAGAGGGUGAUCGGCCACACUGGGACUGAGACACGGCCCAGACUCCUACGGGAGGCAGCAGUAGGGAAUCUUCGGCAAUGGACGAAAGUCUGACCGAGCAACGCCGCGUGAGUGAAGAAGGUUUUCGGAUCGUAAAACUCUGUUGUUAGAGAAGAACAAGUAGGAGAGUAACUGCUCUUACCUUGACGGUAUCUAACCAGAAAGCCACGGCUAACUACGUGCCAGCAGCCGCGGUAAUACGUAGGUGGCAAGCGUUGUCCGGAUUUAUUGGGCGUAAAGCGAGCGCAGGCGGUUUCUUAAGUCUGAUGUGAAAGCCCCCGGCUCAACCGGGGAGGGUCAUUGGAAACUGGGAGACUUGAGUGCAGAAGAGGAGAGUGGAAUUCCAUGUGUAGCGGUGAAAUGCGUARAUAUAUGGARGAACACCAGUGGCGAAGGCGACUCUCUGGUCUGUAACUGACGCUGAGGCUCGAAAGCGUGGGGAGCAAACAGGAUUAGAUACCC
rnacentral:rRNA from 1 species